rnacentral:misc_RNA from 1 species
AAUUCUCAACCUUUCCGGCUUUUGCUGGUCAGGCUUGGAUUGUGGGAGCUGCUGGUUCUUUCACAGCAAUCAGCUCUUCUGAAAUGCAUUAGCAAGAUCAUUGCCCGAUCAUCUCUGGUAUGAUAAUUAUCUAUAUCACCGAUGACGAGCCUCUGAGAUCCUGCUUCUAACCGUCUCUUUCAUCUGAGACAACAUCAUGACUACU